AAUUGUUCAGAGCCAUGGUGAGUGACAGAAAUGGGCUAUACAUCAACAGGUACCGUGAAAAAUUGAGGACAGUUCUGAAUCUACCACACAACAAGCCCACCAGUGUCAUGGAUCAUCUACUGAUCAUCAUCAUCAUCAGCCGUUGUCAGUCCACUGCUGGACGAAAGCCUCAGCAUGUUUCUGCCAUAGUGAACGAUCUCUUGGCAUACUCUUCAUGCUGUCCCCAAAACUCAACACAGAAGUGGAGUCUGUGGAACAUGAUCAUCAAAACAUUUUUUUUUUUCUAGAGUCACAAAAAUCAUUGUAAUGUAUGCAAUACCUGGAGACGGCAAGAGGUUUAAAAACUUUAAAAUCAUCCUACAUUUUGAACUUUUACACAAACAGAAUGAAUAUUACAUGCAUUGCUUUUUGAGUUAAAACUUAAGCACUACACAAGUUGAACAUUUAAUAUGAAUUUUAUUAUUCAGGUUUUCUAUUAUCCUAUAUAAUUACACACCCAGAAAAACAGGUACAAUAUGCACUAUUGAUUUUCCCAGACUUCUUCUCAAUAGCAACCCACAACUUAUGGGGAGCGCAGUGAACAUUCAUGUAAGGCAUACACUCAGCCUUAAGGUCUCAAAACUGGCUUUCAUUGCUGAUAGGAUUCCUUCAUCCAACCUGCAAGGAAUAGUCAUACAUUUAGUAUAAUGGUGUGUAAUGUGUUCAACAUCAUAAGUAGGGGUGUGGAGCGGGGUGUGGCCUGCGAGCCUGCAGCGAAGCGGGGUGUGCCAGGACCGGCCUCAAAGUCAGCGACAGCAGCCGAGAGAAGAGGCGUUGUUGGAGCUGGGGGAGAUCGAGAGCAGGACGAAAAAUUACAAAAAGACGAUUGCUGAAAAGCACUGAGAGACUUGAUUGAAAAAAUAAAACUGUCUUGUAACCAUGA